GAGCGAUAACUAUGGGAACCAAGGCGCAAGCUGAGGUUUCUGUGGUUAAUAGCGGCAGACGGGUGAGUAACACGUGGGCAACCUUCCUUCCAGUGGAGAACAACCGCGGGAAACUGCGGCUAAUACUCCAUAAUACUUUUUUUUACUAAGAGAGGGAGUUAAAGGGUUCAAGGGAAACCGAAGAACUCGCUGGAAGAUGGGCCUGCGGCCUAUCAGCUUGUUGGUGAGGUAACGGCUCACCAAGGCAGAGACGGGUAGCCGGACUGAAAGGUCGACCGGCCACACUGGCACUUAGACACGGGCCAGACUCCUACGGGAGGCAGCAGUGGGGAAUCUUGCGCAAUGGGCGAAAGCCUGACGCAGCGACGCCGCGUGAAGGAUGAAGUUCUUCGGGAUGUAAACUUCUUUUAGGGGGGAAUAAGUCCCGCCGCAAGGCGGGAUUGACGGUACCCCCAGAAAAAGCGCCGGCUAACUCCGUGCCAGCAGCCGCGGUAAGACGGGGGGCGCAAGCGUUGUCCGGAAUCACUAGGUGUACAGGGGGUGUAGGCGUUCCACUAAGUCAGGUGUGAAAUAUCUCGGCUUAACCGAGAUACGCCAUCUGAUACUGAUGGAAUUGAGUUCGAUAGAGGAAGACAGAAUUCUCGGUGUAGCGGUGAAAUGCGUAGAUAUCGAGAAGAAUACCAGUGGCGUAGGCGGUCUUCUGGGUCGAAACUGACGCUGAGGCUCGAAAGCGCGGGGAUCAAACAGGAUUAGAUACCCUGGUAGUCCGCGCUAUAAACGAUGGACACUAGACACUGGAGGCAUUCACCCCUUCGAUGUCGCAGCUAACGCAGUAAGUGUCCCACCUGGGGAGUACGCUCGCAAGGGUGAAACUCAAAGGAAUUGACGGGGGCCCGCACAAGCGGUGGAGCAUGUGGUUUAAUUCGAUCAACGCGAAGAACCUUACCUGGGUUUGACAUGCAGGUAGUACAGAUUCGAAAGAUGAAGGACCCGGUUCGCCGGGAGCCUGCACAGGUGCUGCAUGGUUGUCGUCAGCUCGUGCCGUGAGGUGUUCCCUUAAGUGGGGUAACGAGCGCAACCCCUGACUUUAGUUGCUCUGCGCAAGCAGAGGUCUCUAAAGCGUCUGCCCCCGAAAGGGGGAGGAAGGAGGGGACGACGUCAAAUCAGCAUGGCCCUUAUGCCCAGGGCUACACACGUGCUACAAUGGCCACCACAGAGAGUUGCAAGCUAGCAAUAGCAAGCUAAUCUCGUAAAAGUGGUCUCAGUUCGGAUUGCAGGCUGCAACCCGCCUGCAUGAAGCUGGAAUCGCUAGUAAUCGUGGAUCAGCUACGCCACGGUGAAUACGUUCCCGGGCCUUGUACACACCGCCCGUCACGUCACGAAAGUCCGUUGUAACGGAAGUCCCCGCGCAAGUGGGGCCCAAGUUACGAUUGGCGAUUGGGACGAAGUCGAAACAAGGUAGCCGUACGGGUACGUGCGGCUG
rnacentral:rRNA from 1 species